GACGAACGCUGGCGGCGUGCUUAACACAUGCAAGUCGAACGGAAAGGCUUUGCUACCGUGUGCUGCUCGAGUGGGGAACGGGUGAGUAAGACGAGAGUAACCUGCCCUCGACGUCGGGAUAACUACAGGAAAGUGGGGCUACUACGGGAUAGGAGCUCCUGCUGCAUGGCGGGGGUUGGAAAGUUUCGGCGGUGGAGGAUGGACUCGCGGCUCAUCAGCUUGUUGGGGGGGUAGCGCCUUACCAAGGCUUUGACGGGUAGCCCGCCUGAGAGGGUGACCGGCCACCUUGCUCCUGCGGUACGGCCCAGUCUCCUACGGGCGGCAGCAGUGGGGAAUCUUGCACAAUGGGCGGACGCCUGAUGCAGCAACCCUGCGUGCGGGAUGACGGCCUUCGGGUUGUAAACCGCUUUCGCCUGUGCCGAAGCGUGAGUGACGGUAAUGGGUAAAGAAGCACCGGCUAACUACGUG
rnacentral:rRNA from 1 species